UACGAAGGGGGCUAGCGUUGCUCGGAAUCACUGGGCGUAAAGGGUGCGUAGGCGGGUCUUUAAGUCAGGGGUGAAAUCCUGGAGCUCAACUCCAGAACUGCCUUUGAUACUGAGGAUCUUGAGUUCGGGAGAGGUGAGUGGAACUGCGAGUGUAGAGGUGAAAUUCGUAGAUAUUCGCAAGAACACCAGUGGCGAAGGCGGCUCACUGGCCCGAUACUGACGCUGAUGAGCGAAAGCCAGGGGAGCAAACGGG
rnacentral:rRNA from 1 species